CAGUGCCUUCCUGGCCACUGAGUGUCUGGAGUGUGGCCUGGGAGCCAGCCUUUCUCACAAGUUUUCCUGGGAGCCUGCUAUGUGCACUCAAGUUUGAGAAGUCCUGACCCCAAGCACGACAGGCAUUCGGGAAAUGUUUGCAGAAUGAGCUGUUGGUGAAUGAAUUUCGAGAGCUGUAAGGUGAAGCACAUUGUGAAGUUGUUCGGUUUUCCAUCCAGCCACGACGUUGGUGAUAGCAUCUCAGAGCCAGGAAUUGCUUCCCUGUGGGCCUGGGCUGGCACUUCUGGAUGCUACUUAUGCUGAAGCCAAGCCCAUGGGGACACCCCACUGUUGCCCAAGUGGCUCUCACAGGCAGAUCUAAAGGAGGUAUGUCUAAAUCUCCAGGUCUGGAUGAAGAUGGAAGCUACAUCAUGUUCAAGUUCCAGCAGCCGUCCCAUUCUGGCUUUGAGGAACUCCGAGAACUUGCAGCUCAUGGACAAUCGGUAGCCUUCGACUUGAAGAAACUCCCAAGCCGGGGAGCAGACAGCAAUCUCGCCCCAAGGGAGCUUCUGGUUUGAUAGUGGAGACGCUGAAAACACUAGCCUAAAGGGGACUCCUCGCUCCUCUUGCCACAUACACAGAUGGCAAUGCACAUCCACGGAGCUCCUGCCCACUGAGCAGGAAGGAUGAAGAGAGCCUCCUCUAAACACAGAAUGCCCUGAACCACCAUGGUACCACAAACCAUUCCUGGAGACAUCAUCUCAUCUCAGCCCCAGCCUUUCCCUCCCCUGGACUGACCUUGAGGCCAUCUAGGUAAAGCGAUGCCCUUAUCUCUAGGCAACCAUAUCCUGGAAGAAACCACCUGGACCACGGGACACUUUUGUGCCUCUGAGAUCGGAAGUGGAAUGAAGGAGGCCUAUUCGGAAAGCGACCUGUGGCCUGGGGAGAUGGUUUCAUGGGUAAAAUGUCCACUGGGCAAGCACAAGGAGCUGGGGUCAGAUGCCCAGCACUCGCAGGGGAUAGAGGCAGAUGAAUCUCCAGGACUUAGUGGCCAGCCUGGCCAAAGCAGGGUGCUUCAGGUUCAAUGAGAGACCUUGUUUCACAAACACGUAUUUCUGUGCUAUGUGUCAUCCUAAGAUGCCUCUAACAUCACGCCAUAAAAGUGUGCUUUCCUUGGGAAUGUGCAAAGAUCUUUACUAAUAAGAAUUGAGUUUGCUUUUGAAAAAAUAAAUGGAUGGAGAGGGAGGGAUUGAGAAAGACCUUCAACCUCUUGCCUCUACACAAGCCCACACUGUCUAAUGUAAACAGGCAUGUGUGUGCGCAACACACACACACACACACCCCAAAUAAAUAAAAAGAAUGCAGGGGAGAUGGCUCAGUAAUGAAGAGCACCUGUUGU